CCCCCCCCCCGUUAGUCAUCUUCUCCAAAUGACCCUUGCUUCUACACGCGACCCUCCCUUCACCAAAUCAGCAAAAAUAGACUCCUCCAGUCCCCCGUCGCUGUUUCUCACUCAGCCGCGACGCCAUCACAAUAGCCCCUUCAACACCAUCCAUCGUCAUCCCUUCACUCUUCUUCAAAGGUCACGAUGAACACACCAUAACUUCAGUAGCGGAUCAGCCAUGAGAACAGUUAUCGGGGCAAGACAGAUGUUCGCUCGAGGUUUGUUGUCAAGGUUCCGACCGUGACCCUAUGCAUCGUGAAUUUUGAAACAGUCACUGUUAUCUAUUUAGAGGUCCAUUUCCCUUUCUCUUGAGCUUUAGAUCUUUAUUUUAUAUCUGGUUUGUACUAGAUCAUGACUGAGUUUGAAUUAAAUGUGAGUUUUGAUUACUAUAUGUGUGGUAUAUUGAUUUGUCCUUGUUUAAAAGCACUGCAUCGUUAGAUUUUCAGAAAAACCAUGAAUCGUAUCUCCCAGUUUGUUUGCUUUUUAUUUCAUAGGAUUUGUCUUUAUUUGGAAGCUCAGUUAGUUUGAAAAUUAGAAAUGGACAAUUUAUGUAUUACCACUCGCUUUACAAAUUGUUUUGGUUUAAAAACAUUGAGACUGUUGAAUUGGGUAAUCGCUGUGUGACUGAUGAAAUGGCGGAAAGGGCAGACGAGUAUGUGUGUUCGGUUGAAACGGGUGACUGAACUUUAAAGAGGAGGAGGGAAAGGUUGUUGGAAGAAGCAAGGAAAAGUGUAUCUGAAUUAAGAAAAGUGAUACAUUUGUUUAAGGCUUUUGAGAAGCUCUCUUUCGAUACCAACAAAAUGAACAAUUGGAGUUUCCUGUUAACUAAGUUAGUGUGCAAUCGUUAUCGUUUUCUAUGUAUGACGAUAAAUCAAUUUUUUUUCCUUGUUGAUAAAUCAACUUGUUGUGUACAUGUGAUGACCAAUUACGAAAAUUGAAUGGUGGAUGCUUUGUUGAAUUAAGUGACAGAAGCUGGUGGAUAAGAAAUUUUCGGGUGUGCAUUUAUGUGACCCAAAUCCGAAUCUCAACCACGUUAAAUAAAAUGUAUUGUGGACCGCGGGUGCAUUUAUGUGACAUGGUCUAAAGACGUGUUUUAGAUGACGUUGAAUCUUUCUCCUAAAAAAUAAUUAAUUCAAGCGGCUAUAAAGUUGAAAUUGCACCAUAGGCUAAAACAUGUAUUAAAAUCAGAUAAUAGGCCAAUUAUAAUAGUUGAGCGACCGUGCUAGAACCACGGAACUCGGGAGUGCCUAACACCUUCUCCCGGGUUAACAGAAUUCCUUACUCAGAUUUUUGGCUCGCGGACUGUUAACAAAGUCAUACGUUUCCUCGGUUCGGGAUUAAACCGGUGACUUGGGACACCAUUAAUCUCCCAAGUGGCGACUCUAAAUUUUAAUAAAUAAAUCCCGUUUCGAUUGUCCUUUAAAUGGAAAAACUCCUUUAUUUAUACCCUUUCCCCGGGGGUGUAAGUGAAAAAGGAGGUGUGACACUUGUUAUCACACACAAGUUCCAUCCGACCGAUUUCUCAAAAUUUUAAUUCUUUGAGCAAUUGUUUGACACAAACUAGCUCACAUGUUGCAAGAGCCAUGGCUCGAUACUUUGCUUCUGUGCUAGACCGAGCAACUCCAUUCUGUUUCUUGCUUUUCCAAGAGACCAAAUGACCUCCUACUAAAACACAAUAUCUAGAUGUGGAACGUCUAUCAGAAGGUGACACUGCCGAAUCAACAUCUGUGUAUCCAACAAUAUGCUCAUGGCCUCGAUCCUCGAAUAGUAGUCCUUUGCCUGGAGUUGGUUUUAUAUACCGAAGAAUACGAAUAACUGCAUCCCAAUGACUAUCAUAGGGAGAGUCCAUAAACUGAUUUAUAACGCUCACAAGAAAUAAAAUGUCAGGUCUAAUCACUGUGAGGUAAUUCAAUUUGCCUACCAACCACCUAUAUCUUGCAGGAUCGUUAAGAGGCUCCCCUUGUCCUAGCAGAAGCUUAGCAUUCAGAUCCAAGUAAGUGUCAACAAGUCUACAACCUAUCAUUCCUAUCUCCUCAAGAAUGUCUAAAGCAUACUUCCUUUGUGAAAUAACAAAACUUGAACUAGACUAGUGACUUCAAUACCUAGAAAGUACUUCAAUCUGCCGAGAUCCUUAGUCUGAAAGUGCUGAAAGAGAUGUUGUUUCACACUAGUAAUGCCAUCCUAUUAAUUACAGUUAACAAUAUCAUAAAUAUAAACCACCAGAUACAUACGCAUAUUAGGAGCAUAAUACCGAUAAAACACUAUGUGAUUGGCUUCACUACGAGUCAUACUGAACUCCUGAAUCACUGUGCUGAACUUGCUAAACAAGGUUCGAGGAGACUGUUUCAAACCCAUAAAGUGACAUGUGUAAUCGAUAUGCAAGGCACUAGACUCCCCCUGAGCAACAAAAUCAGGUGGUUGCUCCAUAUGAAUUUCAUCCUCAAGAUCACCGUAGAGAAAGACAUUCUUAAUGUUCAACUGAUAAAGAGGCCAAUGACGAACAACAACCAUAAAUAGAAAAAGGCGAACAUAUGCGACUUUAGCCACGGGAGAGAAAGUGUCACUAUAAUCAAACCCAAAUAUCUGAGUAUAUCCUUUUGCAAUCAGACUAGCUUUAAGCAGAUCAACAUGGCCAUCCGGGCCGACUUUGAUAGCAUAAACCCAAUGACAACCAACGGUAGCUUACCUGUAGGAAAAGGAGCAAGCUCCCAAGUACCACUCGCAUGUAAAGUAGAUAUCUCAUCAAUUAUCGCAUGUCGCCAUCCUGGAUGAGAUAAUGCCUUACUUGUAGACAUAGGAAUGGAAACAAUGGAUAGAGAUGAUAGAAAAGCAUAAUGGGGUGAUGACAGACGGUAAUACUUAAAUCAACAUAAUGGGGGUUAGGAUUAAGUGUGGAUCAUACACUUUUCAGAAGUGCAUUAAGUGGACUAGGAGGAGAAAAGUCUGUAGUAGGUGCAAAAGCUGAUGUAGGACGUGAAUCAUCUGGGCCUAAUGCUGGACGUGGACAAAUGAUAAGUCAAGAGUGGUGGCCUUGUGGCUGGGGAUGUAGAAGGAACAACUUUAGACUCCUCAGAAGUCGGUAUAGGUAGGAGUGGCUGUUGUGGUAUUGUGGACAUCGAUUGGGAUGUAAGAGGAGGAACAAUACAUUCCUCACAAGUAGGUACAGGUAAAGCCUCAGAUAUAUCCAAAUGAUUAGAUGAAGUAAAGUAAGGUUGAGACUCAAAGAAUGUGACAUCGGUUGAUAUAAUAUACCUACGAAGAUCAGGUGAGUAGCAACGAUACCCCUUUUGAACAUGAGAAUAGCCAAGGAAGAUACAAUUAAGAGCACGAGGAGAUAAUUUAUCUUUUUGGGAGCUAAGUUAUGAACAAAACAUGUAUUCCCAAUAACAUGAGGAGGAAGAGAACAUAAGGGUAACCUAGGGAACAAUACCAAAAUGUGGAAUUUGAUUCUAAAUGGAAGUUGUAGACAUCCGAUUAAUUAAGUACAAGCUCUAUGAGCUGCAUCGCCCCCCCCCCCCCCAAAACGCAGCGGGGCAUGGGAUCGAAUGAGAGGUGUGCGUGGAUUUUCAAUAAGAUUCAUAUUCUUUCUCUCUGCUACCCCAUUCUGCUAAGGAGUAUAUGGACAAGAUGUCUAAUGGAUAAUUCCUUGAGAAGUCAUAAAUUGCUGAAACUAAGAGGAUAAAUAUUUUAAGGCAUUAUCACUAUGAAAAGUGCGAAUAGAAACACCAAACUGAGUUUUAAUUUCAGCACAAAAACUUUGGAAUAUAGAGAACAACUCAAAAAGAUCUUUCAUUGAGAAAAUUCAAGUACUUCUUGAGUACUCAUGAAUAAAUCUAACAAAAUAACGAAAUCCUAAGGUUGAAUUGACCCUACUAGGACUCCAUAUAUAUCAGAAUGAACAAAAGAAAAAACGAACUCUACACGACUCUUAGCACUACGUGAAAAUGUAGCUUGAAUAUGUUUCCUAAGUUGACAUGACUCACAAUCUAAUGUAGACAAAUUAGGCACCAUCUUCUGAAGCUUGGAUAAACUCGGAUGUCCUAAACGUUUGGGAAGGUUUGGAGGAUCUGUAGCUGGACAUGCUGUAGAGGGAUUGAGUGAGUUAAGGUAGUAAAGGCCUUGUGAUUCACGCCCUGUGCCAAUCGUUUGUCCCGUACUACAGUCCUGCAUAAUAAAAAAUCAUCAAUAAAAUAUAUACCAUAAUGAAGGGCACGAGUCAAACGACUAGUAUAUGCGAGAUUAAAAGGACAACCAGGGACAUAAAAAAUCGAAUCUAAAGUGACAGAGGAUAGUACAACUCCUUUUACUUUUGUUUGGACUUCAUUGGCUAGAGUAACACUGGGAAGAAAUUGAGAAUAAACAGUAUUUGACAAAAGUGACCUAUUACAAGAAAUAUGAUUAGAGGUGCCUGAGUUCAUGACCGAUUGUCCAAGAGUAGUAGACGAAACACAAGCAAAAGAAUUACCAACAAUAGAAAUAUCAGUCUGAGCGACAAGACUACUUGUGGAGGUGUCUGAUUAGUUACUCGAUACUGAAGGGACUCAUUAUACUCCUCUCCAGAUAAAGAAAACCGCUAGUUACCUGCAGUCUUAGUUUGAGCAACAUGAGCAUUUCUAGGUGGUCGACCAUGCAAAGAGUAACACACCUCACGAGUGUGGCCAAGCUUGUUAUAAUAAAAACACUUUGGUCGAGUUCUUCCAAAACGACAUCCUCCUUGUCUAUUCUCCAUAGUCUGAGGUGCUCGAUUUUCCAAUGUCUAGGAUGUGAGAACAAAGGAUUUAACUAUCUGUGAUGAGAUCACUGUAUGACUGGGCACAACAGCAAGGCGAAGUAAUCGAGAGAGUAAUUCAUCAACUGUGGGGACAGUCGGACUAGCCAAAAUCUAGUCGCAUACUUAAUCAAGGUCAUUAGGAAGUCCAACGAUAAUAAAAACUAGAAACAUUUUCUAUCGGUUCUCUUGUUUCUUUUCAACACUAGCAUCAACUUCUCAAAUUCCUCCAUGACUGGGUGUACUUGUCCAAGGUAAGUAGACAUAUCUAAUUCCUGUUUCUUUAAAUUUGUCAUCCGCAAUAUCAUAUCAUAGAAACGAGAUAUGUCAUUAGUGUAUAAAGUGCGAGCCUUUUCUCAAACUAAAUAAUAUGUUUGAAUGGAUGAAACAAGGGCAUCAACUUGGAAUGAAUAGAUCGCCACAGGAUACUGCAUAAGAGCAUCGAUCUUCUCCCAAAGUGCUUUGGCCUUUUCAUAUCAUUUGCUAGACUUAGUGGUUAAAUGAUCUUGAACAUCUUGACCUUUACACCACAACUCGACAAACAAAGCCCAAGCUAAGUAAUUUGAACUUCUCAUUAAAGGUUCCGAGGUAAUCAUAAUACUGGAACUUUCAGACCCCGUGCUUUUAGACCCAAAAAUAUCAAAUCCCAAAGAAAUCGUCGAAUUAAGGAAGGGUCUAGAAAAUUAUCACCAAAUAACAAAAAAGAUUAACACUAACUCGCCGAAACAGACGAAGAAAUACUAUAGUUGCCGGAAAAUUAGUGUAGGCUCGGAAUAAAAAGAAAAUGAUAUGGGUAGGGUCAGAAUCACUAGACGAGACAACUGUCCUUAAAUUUGCUUCUUAAAAUGGUCCGAAUAAAUGUCACGCGCUGGCGUGUGGGUCUGAUGCGCCGUUGGCGUCAGAGCUUUUUCAGGCGCGUGGCUAGGUUUCUGCCGGUGUGGUUUCCUAGGGUUUGGUCGCCUGAGAAUUCCGUACUUGCUGGUGGUGUGACUUUUCAUAAAAAAACACCGGAGAAAAGUUGACGCAAAAACCGCCUGAAAUUCACCGGAAAAAAGGCAUAGUGACUAUUCCGGACUCGCUGGUUACUGCACAAAGGAGAUUUCUCACUAGUUGCACUGAUACCAUGUGAGAAAGCACGCGAAUUUUUUUUAUUAUUGAUGUUCGUUAAGUGUUUUACAAUAGCCCUAUUUAUAUACAUUGUUUACAUGUACCUAAAGAUUUCUAUACCAAUGUGGGACACUAUACAUGAACUAAUUCCAACAUUGUAUUAAAGUGAACUUAAGAAACAGACUUUAAUUCAGGGGCUGGCAUGUACCUGACCUUUAUCACUCACUCACUUCUUUUGAAGAUGCGCACUUGUUUAAUACUUAAAACAAUAAAUCUGGAAAAGUAUAGAACUAUGUUUUAUAUGGAGUAGAUAUUACUGUCUUAUGCCAAUAUAAAGCUUUUGGGUAUUUGUGAUAAGUAGGAAGAGCAUUGAUGGUGUUGCGAAACAAUAUAUAAUGAAGUGAUUUGAGAGAAACUGAGAAAAAAAACAAUUUCUAUUGGACUCACAUUUCACAUGGCACAAACUGGCAAAUCAUCAUAUUUAAGCAUCCUUGUGCAAGGUCCAAAGUGACUAUAUACUUUCGCUCAAGUGCUUAUACUCGGUAUUUCUGAAUCACUACAUAUGUGAUUUCAGAUUGUGGUAACAAAGAACUAACUUUUGGAAUUACCUUUUCAAUGAAGGAUUUGGCAGCUGCUAUUGACGAGGAAAACAUUGACAAGUUUACUGAUGUGGUCAAAGAAUAUGAUAGCAUGACCAAAGGCGGAGCCAGAAUUUGAAGUUACUAGGUUCGGGAUUCUAGGUUUUUUAUGUUAUUGGGUUCUAAAAUAAGAAUUUGUACUUAUUCAAUGAAUUUCUUAAAACAAAUAUAAUGUUUGCACUAAAACUACUGGGUUCGACCGAACUGCUUUGACUCCGCCCCUGAGCACUGGUAAAUUCGAGACACUUUUUGUUUUGUAGUCCAAUCACAGACUACUUAGUAAUGCUUGGAUAUCUUAAUGAAACUCUUGGCUCCCACGACAGAAAAGUUUUCUUUGAAAUGUUAGAUCUUUUCCCUUAACAAGUAGAACCACAUGGGGAGUACUUUAAAUGUGGGAUACUCUAUUGGAUCCAAUAUUUUUGGCUUGGUUGGAAGAGGCUAGAGAAAAAUAUAAAUGGAGUGUUUGUUUGGUAGCACUUUCCGUGACCCCUUUUCUAUCUUUGAUUAUUGAGUUGUAGCAACUUUCUGACACCAGUGGAGAACAACUCCUCUUUGGUUAUAUCACUAGUGUCGAUGAAUAUGAAUUCAGAACUAUGACUUAGUGAGAUUGCAAUGCAGGUUUAUUUAGGUAGUGUGGAUGGCAAACCCGGAGAUGUGCAUUUAAACUUGAGCCUUGUCUGAAUCUAUUAGCACUGGGAAUGUUUUCUUGAUCUGGAUAAAAGAGAAAUAAUCCUUUCUCUUUUUCAGUGUUGGGUGUGCGAACAAAGUCCCACAUUGGUAGCUGAAAAGAUUGGGAGUCUACAUAUAAGGUGUAGGGAUCUCUUAAUGGUGUGAGGCCUUUUGGGGAAAACCACGCGGGCUUGGCCUAAAACGGACAAUAUCACACCAUGUUAAGAGUGUCUUUGGGCUAGUUUAGCCCAACAACUGGUAUCAGAGCUCAGGUUCAGUAGGACGAGUAUGGAGAUGGCGGAGUGAUGGUGCGGGGCCGUACGCACACAAGCAAAAGCUAGUUGUGGGCUUCGGGUGCCAUAAUACUCUAAUAAUGUGGGUGGCACACAGUAAUAUCGGAAAUUGACCCGUGGAUUGUGGUAGUGGGCCACGCGGAACUUAGUUCGAGGGGGAGAUUGUUGGGCGUGCGAACAUAGUCCCACAUUGGUAGCUGAAAAGAAUGGGAGUCUACAUAUAGGGUGUAGGGAUCUCUUAAUGGUGUGAGGCUUUUUGGGGAAAACCGUGCGGGCUUGGCCCAAAGCGGACAAUAUCACACCAGGUUAAGAGUGUCUUUGGCUAGUUUAGCCCAACAUUCAUGAUAAUUGACAUAUACUUCUGCCAGAAGUUAUCUACUCGUAAAUCAGGAACAUGAUAAGUGAGGAUUCUUAUGGUCGACCUCAACUGUAGUUGUUUGAGAUUGAGGGAUAGUGGUUAUUGUUGUUGUUUAUCUUACUAUGUUGUCUUUUUCGUUGUUCAUCUUUGCAAUGUACUUAUCUUUCUCGUGACAUUUAUUUCGUGCCAGGAUGGUUGGAAAAUAACGCUUCUUCUGAAAGUGAAGGAAGCAGUGAAGGCUAAGGAGUUAGAGGAAGAUGAUCUCACAUAACGUUUUCUUCUCUCAUAGUACUAUAUAUAUAUAUUUGUGAAUUGUCUUUUAUUAUACGAUCAUAUUUCUAGUUAGCUUAUUAUAAUGCUUGCUUUGUGCUAAUUAAGUUUGACUAGCAACUAGAUUUUAGCCUGAUGGUCAGGGCUUUGUUUCUUGCAUAAGAAGAAAUAAUCUCCAUAAAAAACUUUAUAUUACUGAUAUGUACAAUGUUUGGUUCCAGAAUAAUGUUUGAGUACAACAUGAAACUCGGC
rnacentral:lncRNA from 1 species